rnacentral:rRNA from 1 species
GACGAACGCUGGCGGCGUGCUUAACACAUGCAAGUCGAACGGAAAGGCCCUGCUUUUGUGGGGUGCUCGAGUGGCGAACGGGUGAGUAACACGUGAGUAACCUGCCCUUGCCUUUGGGAUAACUUCAGGAAACUGGGGCUAUUACCGGAUAGGACCUCCUGCUGCUUGGUGGGGUUUGGAAGGUUUCGGCGGUUGGGGAUGGACUCGCGGCUUAUCAGCUUGUUGGUGGGGUAGUGGCUUACCAAGGCUUUGACGGGUAGCCGGCCUGAGAGGGUGACCGGCAACAUUGGGACUGAGAUACGGCCCAGACUCCUACGGGAGGCAGCAGUGGGGAAUAUUGCACAAUGGGCGGAAGCCUGAUGCAGCAACGCCGCGUGCGGGAUGACGGCCUUCGGGUUGUAAACCGCUUUCGCCUGUGACGAAGCGUGAGUGACGGUAAUGGGUAAAGAAGCACCGGCUAACUACGUG